AUAAUUUUGAAUUUUUCUCAAAAUCUAUGUGUUAACUAACCCCUACGAAAAUAUUGAGUUUUUCAUUAAAUGCUCUAUAUACUAAACCUAUGAUCUUUAGUGUUGUUUUAAAAUUUCUAAACACAUUCUACAUGUGUAUUAAUGUAUAAUAAACUCUCUUUCAUUGUAUAUGGGCAUCGUUUUAAUUUUUUGUUAAUUAAUUUAGUAAAACUUCAUAAUAUUCCAUAUAUUGGUGGACAAACCA